AGCAAAGUUUAAGUUCUCAAGAUCUCCCUGGGAACUGACAUCCUACUUGCCAGAAAGAGACAUGGACAUGGGUGCCUGACAUCCUGGUUGGCAAAUUUAAGACAUGAAUAUUAGACAAGUUCUUCUUAAGGAUCCUGCAACAACUUCACUCCUAAGAUAAGGCUCUUCCAUCAUAUUGGCAAAUCAGGGGUGAGGAGCAACAAAAGUCAGGAGGAAAAAUGGAUUCAGAAGUGACCUGGCCAAGAUCAUACAGUCAACAUUAAGGGAUAAAUUGUAUACCCUCUGAAAAAUAAUUCUAAUUCCUAGUAUCUCAAAGUGUGACUCUAUUUGGAGACCAGUUCAGUUGAACAGGUUAGUGGCCUGUUUAAAGGGGGGAUGGAAAAGAAACAGGCAGACAGACUAACAUAAGAAACACCAUAUUGAAGCCACAAGCAAACUUUGGAAGAAGCCAAUCCUCUUCAUAAUGUCCUGAUGUAACCCUUCAAACUGAGAAAAAGAAAUGUCUCUUGCCUAUAAAUUACCUGAUCCAUAAGUGGUAUUUUGCUAUAGCUGCAAGGAUGGAUUAAAUCUGCAACACUGAUAUUCAAAGGUGGAACUGCUAUUUCUUUCUUGCUCAUCCUGACCUCAAUUAUGGCAAAUACUCUGCCUUAAAUUCUAGGUAUAUAAAAAGCCAUGUCCAGAGAAGUUAAAUAACUUGUCUGGGAAUACACUGCUAGUAAGAGGCAGAAACCUGGUUGAAAUAGUUGUUUACCUUUUAAUGGUGGGA